GACGAACGCUGGCGGCGUGCUUAACACAUGCAAGUCGUACGGUAAGGCCCUUUCGGGGGUCCCCGAGUGGCGAACGGGUGAGUAACACGUGAGUAACCUGCCCACAACUUUGGGAUAACGCUAGGAAACUGGUGCUAAUACUGGAUAUGUGCUCCUGCUGCAUGGUGGGGGUUGGAAAGCUCCGGCGGUUGUGGAUGGACUCGCGGCCUAUCAGCUUGUUGGUGGGGUAGUGGCCUACCAAGGCGGCGACGGGUAGCCGGCCUGAGAGGGUGACCGGCCACAUUGGGACUGGGAUACGGCCCAGACUCCUACGGGAGGCAGCAGUGGGGAAUAUUGCACAAUGGGCGCAAGCCUGAUGCAGCAACGCCGCGUGCGGGAUGACGGCCUUCGGGUUGGAAACCGCUUUCAGCAGGGACGAAGCUUUUUGUGACGGUACCUGCAGAAGAAGCACCGGCUAACUACGUG
rnacentral:rRNA from 1 species